rnacentral:rRNA from 1 species
CCUCCAUCUGGAAGAAGUCUGGAGACAGGUGCUGCAUGGCUGUCGUCAGCUCGUGUCGUGAGAUGUUGGGUUAAGUCCCGCAACGAGCGCAACCCUUGCCUUUAGUUGCCAGCAGUUCGGCUGGGCACUCUAAAGGGACUGCCGGUGUUAAACCGGAGGAAGGUGGGGAUGACGUCAAGUCCUCAUGGCCUUUAUGACCAGGGCUACACACGUACUACAAUGGCCGAUACAAAGGGCAGCGACACUGCGAGGUGAAGCCAAUCCCGUAAAAUCGGUCUCAGUCCGGAUUGGAGUCUGCAACUCGACUCCAUGAAGUUGGAAUCGCUAGUAAUCGUGGAUCAGCAUGCCACGGUGAAUACGGUUCCCGGGCCUU